rnacentral:rRNA from 1 species
AUGAACGCUGGCGGCGUGCCUAAUACAUGCAAGUCGAGCGAACGGACGAGAAGCUUGCUUCUCUGAUGUUAGCGGCGGACGGGUGAGUAACACGUGGAUAACCUACCUAUAAGACUGGGAUAACUUCGGGAAACCGGAGCUAAUACCGGAUAAUAUUUUGAACCGCAUGGUUCAAAAGUAAAAGACGGUCUUGCUGUCACUUAUAGAUGGAUCCGCCCUGCAUUAGCUAGUUGGUAAGGUAACGGCUUACCAAGGCAACGAUGCAUAGCCGACCUGAGAGGGUGAUCGGCCACACUGGAACUGAGACACGGUCCAGACUCCUACGGGAGGCAGCAGUAGGGAAUCUUCCGCAAUGGGCGAAAGCCUGACGGAGCAACGCCGCGUGAGUGAUGAAGGUCUUCGGAUCGUAAAACUCUGUUAUUAGGGAAGAACAUAUGUGUAAGUAACUGUGCACAUCUUGACGGUACCUAAUCAGAAAGCCACGGCUAACUACGUG